CUGGGUUUGAGGAAACAAACAACAUUACACUCAGAAACGAGCUAACUCUCUUCUUGGCUUUCCCAUACUAGGAAUCUCAACGGCUUCCUAAUGAAACUUGAAUGUCAAAAAUCUCAUAGGAAGAACAAAAUACAUAGGUUUCAGAUGAAAUGGUGAGGAGGAUUAUUGUAAAGGGAUUUGGAGUGCAGAGAAUAUGGCUUGAAGGAAGAGAGGAUGCACAUCUUCUCCAGAGAACACCUCCAACUUCAACUUCUCCACGUGAGGCCAUAUCUACAGGACAUUGAACACACAAGUAAGAUUCUGUCAUUUCAUUAAAAUUUUACGCUCUUAACAACAUCCAACUCAAAUAACUUUUACCUCGUUCGCAUAUUGUCUUGUAAAUGCCGUAAGAUAUCCAAGUGUCGAUAAGCACCACUGUUCUCUCUCACCGAUCUCAGACUUUUUCUUUGGGUUUCCAUUUUCACUGUCCACCUCCAUCGCAGAUGAGUUUUCAUCUUCAGAUUUUAGAUCCUCCAUCGAUCUCGCUUUCGCUGGUUCUGGAAGCCGUUCUUUCAGGACUGCAGAGAAACUCUGGAACAGCAGGAGCAGUAGAGCCUAUAUGCACAAGGAAAAGUCAAUAAGGGAAUACAAAAAGAGACAGUACACUAGAAAGUUAUUUGAAUACCUCAGUUUCAGAGAGAGCUCUGUUAAGAAGAGCCUCUUUUGCCAAAGAAAACUAAAUGUAACUUGCCUUGUUAGCAUGCGGUAUGGCUCUCUGAGAUCCUUUGUGACUAAAUCGUCAAUCAAAGUGCCUAUAUAACUGCUUUCCCUCUCAAGAACAACGUGCUUCUUACCAUCGGAAUGUCUGGCAGCAUUGAUUCCAGAUAUAAUACCCUAUAUUUCAAUAAAUAACAGACCAAUGAUACAUAACCGCAGUUUUCAUUGUAUUGACAUAUAUUUUCUUUCCAUAUCAUCAGAGUAAAAUUAUUAUCAAGACCCAUCAUUAAGGAAGUUAAAGUCUGCUACAGAUCAGUCACCUGUGCGGCAGCUUCUUCGUAACCAGUUGUGCCGUUGAUCUGACCAGAGAAGAAAAGACCAUCAAUUUUCUUCGUCAUAAGGGACCUUGAACACUGAUGAGCUGGCAAAUAAUCAUACUCAACAGCAUAGGCAGGCCUUAGCAUGGCGCAAUUUUCGAGUCCUGGCAAGCUUCUUAGAAGUGGCAGCUGGAGAUUCUCCGGCAGACCAGUUGAAAAUCCCUAUGGAAAAUUUACAACUUGAUAAGAAUGAUAGUGAUUUCAGAGUACAUUGCAUUCUAAUAAAUCACUCAUAAAAAAUAUUUUAGCCUUGAAUACUUAAAAUAUCAAUGCAUAGAUUAGCCACUGAGUACUUAGCAAACAAGCUAAGAUAUCUGCUCUAGUCUUGAAAACUUAACUUACAGACCCUCACAUUAAACUACAGACAACUUCUGAGUAGUAAAAAACUUCAGGCUUGCUCUAACUAUCAAUAAAGAACAUUCCUGAAUCAUAUGUUUUAGAUAUUUUCAUAGAGACCCAAGCUAGAUUCCUUUCUUCAUCCUUAGGUUUCACACUUUUUCCCUACCAGAGAUGAUUAACAGUUAGCGAAAUCAUAACUAAGGUAUGCAUCAACCUGCACAUAGAUCUCUGGAACAUCUCGGCCCUCUGGUUCCAGGAAUAUUUGAUGCGACUCUUUGUCUUUAAACCUAACAAUCUGAAACCAAAUAAGAUAUAAAGAGUAUAAAUUUACUUAAUCAAAAGUAGUUUAUGAGAAAGAUGGUUCAACAGUUUUUUAGGUACCGACUGUAGAAAAAGUGAGUGCAAGAUUUUCAAAACAUUCCUGUUUUGUUACUCCUACAUAGCUUAACCUCAACCCAUUUUUCUUCCUAUUUCUUUUGGAGAUCUUCUUGAUUCUAUCACAAAAACUCAACAGCCCAAUUGAUCUCUUCCACCCCCUACUACUACUACUACAACACACGCUUCCGUUAGCCUUUAACUAUUAUGUAUCAUUAUUUAUGCAUCAGCAUAUGUGUGCAUGUUGGAGACGGAAAUAGUCUUAAAAUCACAUUGUCUGGCAAAUUCGGGUUUCACUAGUCUUUCUCACAAUGUGAUUCCACUCAUAAACAUUGACAAGUAUAUCAAGAACAAUCAGCUCAAUAACAUGAAAGGUAGAUGAACCAUGGCUGAUGUAACUUCCUCUCGGUCCACGAAAGAGAUAAUAACACAAAGAAAAAGAGGUAAAGCAUAUGCACAGAAAAGAAUAUACCUUGUCUUCAAUGGAAGGGCAGUACCUAGGACCCUUUGCUUCAACCCAUCCACCAUACGUUGGGGUCUCAUGCAAAUUGUCCCUGAUCAAUUGGUGUGUAAACUCUGUUGUGCGAGUCAAGUAGCAGCACAUUUGCUCUCUCUCAAUAUGAAAGUCUGGGUCGAAACUAAACCAGCUGACCUGGGAAAAGGAACAUUAAUGUUCAGCAUCUUCAAAUACAAAAGGUUCAUGAAUCACCUUGGUUAGAUACCAGAAAAAAUAAAAUAUUGUUCUAAUGAUGAGAAAUCUAUUUAUAAAGUGUACAAAACUUAAGCAAUGCCUAAGUGGCUACUCAUUGACUGAAUCGCUUUAGCCCAUGUAACCAUACCAUAAUGAUAUUUAUUUAAGUGUAAGUAAUAAUACCUCUUCGUCUCCAUGUUGAGCUUCCAAGAGAGAAAAAUCAAUGGUCCGGCGAUCCACACGAGCAGGCGUACCGGUCUUUAAGCGAUCUGUCUCAAACCCAAGUUGCUGCAAGUUCUCUGUCAAGCCUUGUGAAGCAGACUCGCCAGCUCUUCCAGCUGGCAUAGACUUUCUACCAACCCAAAUCUUCCCACUCAUAAAGGUUCCAGUGGUGAGAAUCACAGAAGGCGCAUAAAAGUUCAUCCCGAAAAAUGUCGCAACCCCUUCCACGUUGUCAUUCUUCCCAACAAGGAUAUCUGUUACCAUCGCCUCUCUAAUACUGAGAUUCUCAGUGCUGCCAUACCAAAAACAAAAAAAAUGCAGCUAUUACAAAACAUAUAAUUCCAAGAUUAUUAUUCCAAAAUAGCUUGUAAGUAGUAAAUUCAGUAUUUUACACAUGCUUAGAGAUUUAUAUGCAACAAAAAAAAAAAAUAGAUAUGUAAGCAAGACGUAUAGUAAUUAAGCUGACCUUUCCACAAUCUUUUUCAUCUCCAUGGCAUACUCUCUUUUGUCAGUCUGAGCACGUAAGGAUCUAACAGCAGGUCCUCUUGAGACAUUUAGAAUGCGCUUCUGUAAAUAGCAUCUGCACACCAUUAAACCGUUUCAGUAACAACAGUAACAAAGAAGAAACUAUGAUCAGUUAACAGUGUUUACUUUACACUGAAAACUACAUAUAACAACAGAGCUAGAUCUAUAAAAACUCAAUCUAAUCUCCAUUUCCUCAAUUUGUUUUGAAGAGAAGAAUCAUCAGCUGAGCUGGCGAAAACGUACCGAUCAGCGACUUUGCCAAUAUCACCACCAAGUGCAUCAACUUCAUGAACUAAUUGUGAUUUAGCUGGUCCACCAACGGCUGGAUUGCAAGGCUUUUCACGAAACAAGUAUAGUUAGUUAUCGGGAUUACCGUUGCUGCACAGUUGUGACAAGUAGUGUACAUACACAAACAAACCUGCCAAGCUAUACGAUCGAGGUUUAAGGUGAGGAGGAGAGUGCUAGCUCCCAAUCGAGCGGAGGCUAGAGCGGCUUCGCAUCCGGCGUGUCCAGCUCCAACCACAAUCACGUCGUAGUUCGAACCACCUAAAGAGAUUGAUUACUCGUUUAAGCCAAAAAGAAUUAAAUUAAAAAUCAGGAUGAGAGGUUUGGUGGUUGGGGAACCUGGUGAUGAGCUGAAGCUUGUGGCGUGAGGGCGAUUAAGGGAGAGUGUGCGAGGUCGGCAGCGUAGACGAGGAGAGUGGAGAGGGAAUGAGAUGGAGGAGAAGAGAAUAGAUGGGACAGUGGAAGAGAAGCUUCGGAGAUGCCGGAGACCUAAAGAGGUGGAGGCGGUGGUGGCUCUCAUCUCUAAACAGAAGCGGAAGUUGUGAGUGGUCGACGCAGCAAUUUAAUCGGGGAUAGAAGAUGAUUUGAGUUAUUGAAUUAGUGAAGGAAAUGGGCUAUUCUAUAAAAUGGGAAUAAGUAUAAUCUAAUCCCCAGGACCAAGCAAGAGUUUCUCUCUUCCCAACUUAAUUUAUAGUUUUGUCUAUGGUUUUUUUUGUAUACUUUCGUUGGAGAUUUCAUAUAGCAAGUAGAAUUUGGAAAACAUUUCGUUUGGAAAACAAAAAAAAUGAUAAGCUGGGUGCCAUCUGUUGUGGUCUUUAUUAGUUACUCUUAAUCUAGGUUUUGGUUUGGUUUAGAAGUAAAUUUUAAUCUUAUUAGUGAAAUUAAGUGGUGUAAGAGACGGUUCAGCUCGGGUCGUGGAAUAGAUUCGUUUUGUUGUAGUUAAAAAUACAAUGUUGUCUAAACUGGGUAGCAUAUGAUUUUUCUAAGUGUUUAUUUUGGAGUUGUAUGUGGGAUUUAGAUAUAGGUGAAGUUAAAAUUUUGUAUUCACAAUUUGGAUUAUGAAAGUUAAACUGAGAGACAGAAAAUAAAAACAUAUCCAGUAGAAAAAGUCUGUUAUGCUAAAAUUGUCUAAACCUUUUUGGCUCUUUUCUUUUAUUAUGCAGAACGUUGGAAACUUUUCGAUUCUGCUCAUGUACCGACGGUACACUACCGUCGUCGUUCUAUCCAUACCGGUUUGAUCCUCUUGAUCCUUCCUCCUUUCACCACCAAUUCUUUUUCCUUGUCUUCCACCUCAAAAUUUGGAUUUAAGACCCUCCCUAUAAAGUUUACAAAUCUCCUUCCGAACAACCUUAGCUAAUAGCUUCUGCUUCUUUAAACAGUGACAGACCAUAGAAAAUCGCAACAGAACAGACUCCAUGUACCCUUACAGUUAUCCUAAAAUCAAGUUUAAUUAAUAAAGCUGGGUUUGAGGAAACAAACAACAUUACACUCAGAAACGAGCUAACUCUCUUCUUGGCUUUCCCAUACUAGGAAUCUCAACGGCUUCCUAAUGAAACUUGAAUGUCAAAAAUCUCAUAGGAAGAACAAAAUACAUAGGUUUCAGAUGAAAUGGUGAGGAGGAUUAUUGUAAAGGGAUUUGGAGUGCAGAGAAUAUGGCUUGAAGGAAGAGAGGAUGCACAUCUUCUCCAGAGAACACCUCCAACUUCAACUUCUCCACGUGAGGCC
rnacentral:lncRNA from 1 species